rnacentral:misc_RNA from 1 species
GAUGAAGAACGCAGCGAAAUGCGAUAAGUAAUGUGAAUUGCAGAAUUCAGUGAAUCAUCGAAUCUUUGAACGCACAUUGCGCCCGUCAGUAUUCUGGCGGGCAUGCCUGUUCGAGCGUCAUUACGCCCCUCAAGUCCCCUGUGGACUUGGUGUUGGGGAUCGGCGAGGCUGGUUUUCCAGCACAGCCGUCCCUUAAAUUAAUUGGCGGUCUCGCCGUGGCCCUCCUCUGCGCAGUAGUAAAACACUCGCAACAGGAGCCCGGCGCGGUCCACUGCCGUAAAACCCCCCAACUUUUUAUAGUUGACCUCGAAUCAGGUAGGACUACCCGCUGAACUUAAGCAUAUCAAUAAGCGGACGA